GAUGAAGAACGCAGCGAAAUGCGAUACGUAAUGUGAAUUGCAGAAUUCAGUGAAUCAUCGAAUCUUUGAACGCAUAUUGCGCUCUCUGGUAUUCCGGAGAGCAUGCUUGUUUGAGUAUCAGUAAACACCUCAACUUCCAUAUCUUUUUUGAAAUGGGAGUUGGACUUGAGUGAUCCCAACGCUUUUCCUCACCGAAAAGUGGCGGGUUACUUGAAAUGCAGGUGCAGCUGGACUUUUCUCUGAGCUAUAAGCAUAUCUAUUUAGUCUGCCUAAAAAACAGAUUAUUACCUUUGCUGCAGCUAACAUAAAGGAGAUUAGUUCUUGUGUUGACUGAUGCAGGAUUCACAAAGACGGCUUCGGCCGACUUUGUAAACUCGAUCUCAAAUCAAGUAAGACUACCCGCUGAACUUAAGCAUAUCAAUAAGCGGAGGA
rnacentral:misc_RNA from 1 species